GUCGCCCAUGCCCUGGAAGGUGCGGCGGUCGGUGCCGAAGCGCUGCAGGUUCGACAGCGUGCGGGUGAGCCGGCGGUUCAGGGCCGGCGAGCGGCGC
rnacentral:tRNA from 1 species